CCUACGGGAGGCAGCAGUGGGGAAUAUUGCACAAUGGGCGAAAGCCUGAUGCCGCAACGCCGCGUGAAGGAAGAAGGGUUUCGGCUCGUAAACUUCUAUCAACAGUGACGAAAGAAAUGACGGUACCUGAAUAAGAAGCCCCGCCUAACUACGUGCCCGCAGCCGCAGUAAUACGUAGGGGGCAAGCGUUAUCCGUGAUUACUGGGUGUAAAGGGUGAUUAGGCGGCAUUGUAAGCCAGAUGUGAAAGCAUUGGGCUUAAACCGAGGAAUGCAUUUGACACUAUCAAGCGAGAGUACAGGAGAGGAAAGCGGAAUUCGUAGUGUAGCGGUGAAAUGCGUAGAUAUUAGGAAGAACACCAGUGGCGAAGGCGGAUUUCUGGACUGAAACUGACGCUGAGGCACGAAAGCGUGGGGAGCGAACAGGAUUAGAUACCCGGGUAGUC
rnacentral:rRNA from 1 species